ACGGGGGGGGCAAGCGUUGUUCGGAAUUACUGGGCGUAAAGGGCUCGUAGGCGGCCAACUAAGUCGGAUGUGAAAUCCCCAGGCUCAACUUGGGAACUGCAUCCGAUACUGGAUGGCUUGAAUCCGGGAGAGGGAUGCGGAAUUCCAGGUGUAGCGGGGAAAUGCGUAGAUAUCUGGAGGACAACCGGUGGCGAAGGCGGCAUCCUGGACAGGAAUUGACGCU
rnacentral:rRNA from 1 species